AGUGAACGCUGGCGGUAGGCCUAACACAUGCAAGUCGAACGGCGGCACAGUAAGAGCUUGCUCUUACGGGUGGCGAGUGGCGGACGGGUGAGGAAUACAUCGGAAUCUACUUUUUCGUGGGGGAUAACGUAGGGAAACUUACGCUAAUACCGCAUACGACCUACGGGUGAAAGCAGGGGAUCUUCGGACCUUGCGCGAUUGAAUGAGCCGAUGUCGGAUUAGCUAGUUGGCGGGGUAAAGGCCCACCAAGGCGACGAUCCGUAGCUGGUCUGAGAGGAUGAUCAGCCACACUGGAACUGAGACACGGUCCAGACUCCUACGGGAGGCAGCAGUGGGGAAUAUUGGACAAUGGGCGCAAGCCUGAUCCAGCUAUACCGCGUGGGUGAAGAAGGCCUUCGGGUUGUAAAGCCCUUUUGUUGGGAAAGAAAAGCAGCAGGUUAAUACCCCGCUAUUCUGACGGUACCCAAAGAAUAAGCACCGGCUAACUUCGUG
rnacentral:rRNA from 1 species